GACGAACGCUGGCGGCGUGCUUAACACAUGCAAGUCGAACGGAAAGGCCAGUGCUUGCACUGGUACUCGAGUGGCGAACGGGUGAGUAACACGUGGGUGAUCUGCCUUGCACUCUGGGAUAAGCUUGGGAAACUGGGUCUAAUACCGGAUAUGAACCGCCUUUAGUGUGGUGGUUGGAAAGUUUUUUCGGUGCAAGAUGAGCUCGCGGCCUAUCAGCUUGUUGGUGGGGUAAUGGCCUACCAAGGCGUCGACGGGUAGCCGGCCUGAGAGGGUGUACGGCCACAUUGGGACUGAGAUACGGCCCAGACUCCUACGGGAGGCAGCAGUGGGGAAUAUUGCACAAUGGGCGGAAGCCCGAUGCAGCGACGCCGCGUGGGGGAUGACGGCCUUCGGGUUGUAAACUCCUUUCGACAGGGACGAAGCGUAAGUGACGGUACCUGUAUAAGAAGCACCGGCUAACUACGUG
rnacentral:rRNA from 1 species